rnacentral:rRNA from 1 species
GAUGAACGCUGGCGGCGUGCCUAAUACAUGCAAGUCGAGCGAACAGACGAGGCGCUUGCUCCUCUGACGUUAGCGGCGGACGGGUGAGUAACACGUGGAUAACCUACCUAUAAGACUGGGAUAACUUCGGGAAACCGGAGCUAAUCCCGGAUAAUAUAUUGAACCACAUGGUUCAAUAGUGAAAGACGGUUUUGCUGUCACUUCUCGAUGGAUCCGCGCCGCAUUAGAUAGUUGGUACGGUACCGGCUUACCAAGGCAACGAUGCGUAGCCGACCUGAUAGGGGGAUAGGCCGCACGAGAGCUUGGACGGCGUCCAGGCUCCUACGAGAGGGAGCAGUAGGCAACCGGCCGCAAUGGUCGGAAGCAUGGCAGAACGGCGCGGCGUGUGUGAUGAAGAUCUUCGGAUCGUAAUACUGUGUUAUGAGUUAAGAACAAAUGUGGAAGGAAAUAUGCACGUCGUGACGGUACCUAAUCAGAAAGCCACGGCUAACUACGUG